GCGGAUGUUGUGCAUGGUGCACUGCUGCGUCCCGUGGUCCAAGCGCAAACCGUUCUGCAGUAGUCCGAGGUUCGAUUCCUCGCAUCCGCA